ensembl:snoRNA SNORA73 Small nucleolar RNA SNORA73 family
UUCACAUGGCUAGUCCUCAGAGGUCUCUUUCCCCAGGCUCUGUCCAAGUGGCAAAGGGGAGCAUAAGGUCCUUUCUCAAGAUGGACAGUCUCUUUCCACAAGGUUGAAGAAGAAGCUGGGCAUCGAGUCUACACCUGCAUCUUUUUACAACUUCUGAGUCUUGGGGACAAUGAUUGAGGGGACAAACUACAGGAAACAAAG